GCUGCGGGUGUCAUUGGGGUGACACGGGGUGGCAUUGAGGUGACAUGGGGUGACACAGGGUGACACGGGGUGACACGAGGUGACACGAGGUGACACGGGUGACAUGGGUGACAGUUGCACCAUGGCUGUGGGUGUCAUUGGGGUGACAUGGGGUGACAUGGGGUGACAGGGGGUGACACGGGGUGACACAGGUGACAGUCGCACGGUGGCUGCGGGUGUCAUUGGGGUGACUCAAGGUGGCAUGGGCUGACACAAGGUGACAUGGCGUGACACAGGGUGACACGGGGUGACACGGGUGACAGUCGCACCGUGGCUGCGGGUAUCAUUGGGGUGACAUAGGGUGACAUGGGCUGACACAAGGUGACAUGGCAUGACACGAGGUGACACGGGGUGACACGGGGUGACACGAGGUGACACGGGGUGACACGGAUGACAGUCGCACCGUGGCUGCGGGUGUCACUGGGGUGACAUGGGGUGGCAUUGAGGUGACAUGGGCUGACACAGGGUGACAUGGGGUGACACGGGGUGACACGGGGUGACAGUUGCACCAUGGCCGUGGGUGUCGUUGGGGUGACAUGGGGUGACAUGGGCUGACACAGGGUGACAGGGGGUGACACAGGGUGACACAGGUGACACGGGGUGACACGGGUGACAGUCGCACCGUGGCUGCGGGUGUCGUUGGGGUGACACGGGGUGACAUGGGCUGACACAGGGUGACACGAGGUGACACGAGGUGACACGGGUGACAGUCGCACCGUGGCUGCGGGUGUCAUUGGGGUGACACGGGGUGGCAUUGAGGUGACAUGGGGUGACACAAGGUGACACGGGGUGACACAGGUGACAGUCGCACCGUGGCCGCGGGUGUCAUUGGGGUGACAUAGGGUGACACGAGGUGACACAAGGUGACACGGGGUGACAGUCGCACCGUGGCUGCGGGUGUUAUUGGGGUGACUUAGGGUGACACAAGGUGACAUGGGAUGACACAGGGUGACAGAGGGUGACACGGGGUGACAUAGGUGACAGUCGCACCGUGGCCGUGGGUGUCGUUGGGGUGACACGAGGUGACACGGGUGACAGUCGCACCGUGGCUGCGGGUGUCAUUGGGGUGACACGGGGUGGCAUUGAGGUGACA
rnacentral:lncRNA from 1 species